ensembl:lncRNA
UUUUUCAUCUGGAGAUUCCUGCUUCUCUGAGGAUCUUAUAGGCCUUCUACAGGGUUGUACUACUGCAUCACAUACAAGAGAAUAUCUGGUAUUGAGGAUGAGGAAGAGUGAGAUAAAUAAACCAAGAUACCGAAGACUUCAAAUUAUUAACUUUGCUUUGGUGGAUUUGGACUAUCCUAGAUGAGAAUAAGUGACUGUCUUGCUGCAGGUCAAAAUUGCCAUAAUGAAACCCUUUUAAACAUAAUACUCUGUCAUAACUUUCUUUUCUAUUCUAUUUGUGUGUUGGACUAAAUAGACUUUUUUUUUUUAUGUUAUUGCUUGGAAGAAUACAGAACUGUUGCCCUCCUCACUGACACCAGUCUUUUGCUAUCAUAGACAGCUAAGGCUUUCUGUUCAGAUCUCUAAAACACUGUUGAGCCUUCUGCAUGUGCUGUUUUUGAGAGGCCACAAUAGGGUUCAGUAUCAUGAGAAAAUACGUUGUUUCUAUUGAUGUGAAUAUUCUACUAUCACAGAUAUGGAUAUCAACUAAUUUGGUUUUCGUUAUGUCAAUGGUCUUGAGGACUUUAUAAAUAAAGAAAUGGCAAACUGUUAUAAUAGUUUAUUCAAACAAAAUACGUCAAUAUUAUUUCCUAGUGAGAAAUGAUUGGGUGACUGGCAUACAUACUAAUUCAUACACUAUUAAAAUAAGAUUUUGCCUAAGUUAAUCUCAAGAUACGGGUCCAAAAAAAUCUUUUUUUUCUUGGAGUAUCUAUCAGUUAUGUGGUUGUUAUAUUUUUGUUGUUGUUGUUUUGGUGCGGUUGUUGUGGUUGUUUUUGGUUGGUUGAUAUUUUAAUAAUUUAUGAUUUUACUUCUGUUUAAAAUAGAAAUUAAGCUUUGAAAGGCUUUGGAUAUAUAUAUAUAUAUUACAUAAUUGCUUUUUCAUUUUUUUUUUUAGUAUAUUGUUUUAUUGUUUAAAAGAAUACAAUGUAACUGAAAAGGCCCAAAAUAACUAAUAAACUUACCCUACUUGUUACUUUUCAUACUAUUACAUUUUACUCGCAUUUCCCUCUAUUGAACACAAUAACUUAUACUCUGACUGAGACAAAUCUUUUGGAAAGAUCUUCACAGUUUGAACUCGUAGUUUAUUCUAGCAACAAUGAUCUUGUGGAGGGGGAAAAAAAAAACAACUCUAAUAUCUAUUGUGCCUUUUCUGUCAUUUAUUUUUCCUCCCACACAGUUUAUUCUUAGUAAAUUAAUUUCCUUGAAGGACCAAGCGUAUAUUCUCCUGUUUUGAUUUUUUAUUUUUUUGCAAAUGCAUAUUCAGAUAAGUUAUUAUUACAAUAAUAGUUUCAUAAAGAUGUGGAUUAUAAAUCUAUUCAUUAUCCAGUGCACUGUUUUCCAUGUUUUCAAAAUUAAUUUCGGCAUCAUUUCUCUAGAAUGCAGUCUUAAUUAUUUACAAUGUUAAGUUUAGUUUCAUAGCAUUUUUAGUACAUUGUUAUUUUUAACAAUAUUUCAAAGAGCAUACUGCAAGCUCAUUCUCAUGCCUAAAUCUGCUUUCUCGCCUCUAAUCCCAGAAAGAAGUAACAAUGGGAAAAUAAACUUAUAAUUCAACUUUUGAACAAAGAUUUUGAUUAGUUUUUAAUAAAUGUGGAUGGUUCAGCUAUGCCUUGAAGUAGUUGUUCAUUUUAUACCUUGAAAAGUUUCUG